rnacentral:tRNA from 2 species
UUCUAACGCUAAACUAUUUUCUGA